rnacentral:rRNA from 1 species
GAUGUGAUCUUCUUUUUUUCUUAGUUAGGAGGGUCGUGGCUGGCCUUCGUCCCCUUGGUUCUACCACCGGCGGAGGGGAAGGGGAAGCCGCCGCGGCGGGCGGUGGCUGAGGCGGAGUGGAAGCCGCCGGAGUGGAAGCCGCAGCGGCGGGCGGUGACGGCGGUGGCGGAGGCCGGCGGGGGUGGGCAGGAUGUGGUUCUACUAAUGCGUUCGCGACUGCCUCGAACCCCCGUGGUCGCCGGCGCGUCGGUAGCGGCCUAAGUAGAACCCCGCGAAGUGGCCGGAGGGGCGGCGGGUGCUGGUGCUGCGCGAGGAGAGGCGGGUGGAGGCGGCGGAGCGGCGGCUCCCGCAGCAGGCGCCGAUGCCUAGCUUUAGCUCUCGGACGAUGCAGAAGGGGCGGAGGCUGUGCGCGCCUGCGCCGGCUGGUGCGCUGCGGCGUUGAGCGGAGGGGUUCUUAGUAGAUUUAAACCUAGUACUGCUGCUGAGGGUCUGCUAAACCGGCCGGGGUAAGGGGAACCGCUGAACACAUUUAGGUCUAACCCUAGGGUUAAGACGAAGGUUGGUCUUAAGCCAAGGGUUAGACCUAGACCUACCUAAGGUCUCAUUGUGGUCACUACUACUACACCGGAUGUUACCACUCGUACUCGUACUACUACUUAUGUGAGGAGCCGGACACGGCCGUCGUUUCGCGCCCGCGCCGGCAGGAGGAUUCUAGUUCUCUCCCGCACCCUCCGGCUCUUUCCUCCUCGUUGUUAGUGUCGUUCGUUGUUUCGUAGGAGGUUGAGGUUGGCGCAGCAGUUCCACCCCCAAGUUCGAUCCCACACCCUCUGGUUACGAUCGAGGAUGUUGACCUGUGCUACGACUUCGACCUCUACGUUACGGACGACUUUGACCUUCGCGACGAAGACGCCCUUAGUUCUCUGGUGCACCCUCCGGUUCUUUCCUCUUCGGUCGUCGUCGUUACAGACGAGUUCGACCCCUACGACGCAGCCGGCCCUAGUUCUCUCCCGCACCCUCCGGUUCGUUCCUCUUCGGACUAAGACGUAGCCGGCCCUAGUUCUCUCCCGCACCCUCCGGUUCUUUCCUCUUCGGACUAAGACGUAGCCGGCCCUAGUUCUCUCCCGCACCCUCCGGUUCUUUCAUAUUAGGUCGUCGUCGUCAUAGUCGACUUCUACCUCUACGACACAGUCGUCCUUACCGAACUCUUAGGUUAAGGUUCUGGUAGUCGGACGGACACUAUAACACAGCUACCACUACUUAUCUCUCACGACCGGACGGAAACUUUGGACCAAACCUCUGUACUGUCUUCGAUCAGCAGCAUUUGUUGUUCUCCUCCAACUUCUUCUUUUUCAGAAACCUUGACCCAGACCACCCUACAAACGUUUGUUGUUCUCCUCCAACUUCUGCGACCUACGCAUGGCCAAAGACAUCUCUUACGACGAGGACAGCUCCGACAUCAUCGCGAGAGGGGGUAUAGGUACCACGACAGAGCCUCCGAGAGGUACCAUGUUAAGACACGUUGGCAGAUGGCGGUACUUUAACGGUUCUCAUUAUCAUUUGACCCACUUCUUACUCCACGUACACGAUAAAUUAAAAAGUUUGACAGUCGUCAGGACCCGCGUUAAACAUCUUGACUUCGGUGAGAAGGGCAACCCGUGUCUUUGGUCAUUCAUCAUUAGGGUUGAAUAAACGAGAGAAAAACAUGCACGUUAAGUCAAGUUAUCGGAGAAGAGUGACAUGUCAAAUAGACUAUAAUAAUAAGGAGUCAGACAUGGCAACUUGUUUGCCACAUGAAUGAGAACUCUCAUCAUGAUGAAUGACUACCCGGUCAAUCAGUGUCAGUCAAAUUUGCCGUGUGUCUCCCUAACAUACAUACAGAUCUUAUGUCACUUGAGUACGUUCAACAGCUACGAUUCCUCCCUCCCUAUACAAAGCAAAGACCCGUCCCGUACCCCCAUGGGUAACACAGUUCUGUAAAGAUACCUUAUGGUAACAACAACGAUGAGAGUUCAAUCUAUUGAUGAGGGAGGCAAGCCUUAAUGAACAGAGCCUUUACCUACAUAGAUCUUGAUUUUAAACUUCGACCUUAAACGUAGAACAACGACCUUAAACUUCGGUACGUAAUAAUAGACGAUUUGGACUUGUCUUAACUUCCAACAUUGUGAAAAGAAGAGUGUUCUGUUCUCAAUUAUUAAGAUGUUCAGUUAAGUAUAUCCUCAUAGAAAAUACCAUCUCGUAUGGCCUAACAGAUCAUAAAAAACUACGUUUCCCAACAGUAGUGUACUCACUGUGUCAAAACCACUUAGUAACUACCGUACCGUGGUACCAGGAACGUAGGGUAAGGGUCGGUCAGGGUAGAGAACAAGCUUACCAUUAUAUAUACAGACACAAACAUACGUAAAAAAUUCGAAUAAAAUGAUAAGACGAUCCACGAAUAAGUCGUCAUAAAAUAAAACUU